UACGUAGGGUGCGAGCGUUGUCCGGAAUUAUUGGGCGUAAAGGGCUCGUAGGCGGUUUGUCGCGUCGGGAGUGAAAACUCAGGGCUUAACCCUGAGCCUGCUUCCGAUACGGGCAGACUAGAGGUAUGCAGGGGAGAACGGAAUUCCUGGUGUAGCGGUGAAAUGCGCAGAUAUCAGGAGGAACACCGGUGGCGAAGGCGGUUCUCUGGGCAUUACCUGACGCUGAGGAGCGAAAGUGUGGGGAGCGGACAGG
rnacentral:rRNA from 1 species